UAGGGAAUAUUGGACAAUGGGGGCAACCCUGAUCCAGCCAUGCCGCGUGAGUGAAGAAGGCCCUCGGGUUGUAAAGCUCUUUUGUCCGGAAAGAAAAGCAUUCGGUGAAUACCCGGAUGUUCUGACGGUACCGGAAGAAUAAGCACCGGCUAACUUCGUGCCAGCAGCCGCGGUAAUACGAAGGGUGCAAGCGUUACUCGGAAUUACUGGGCGUAAAGCGUGCGUAGGUGGUUGUGUAAGUCUGAUGUGAAAGCCCUGGGCUCAACCUGGGAAUGGCAUUGGNAACUGGGCAGCUAGAGUGCGGUAGAGGGUAGUGGAAUUCCCGGUGUAGCAGUGAAAUGCGUAGAGAUCGGGAGGAACAUCUGUGGCGAAGGCGACUGCCUGGACCAGCACUGACACUGAGGCACGAAAGCGUGGGGAGCAAACA
rnacentral:rRNA from 1 species